UCCCUGGUGGCUCAGAUGGUAAAGAAUCUGCCUGCAAUGCAGAAGACCUGGGUUCGAUCCCUGGGUGGGGAA
rnacentral:tRNA from 1 species